rnacentral:rRNA from 1 species
UACGGGGGGGCAAGCGUUGUUCGGAAUUACUGGGCGUAAAGGGCUUGUCGGUUGCCAACUAAGUCAGACGUGAAAUCCCUCGGCUUAACCGGGGAACUGCGUCUGAUACUGGAUGGCUUGAGUUUGGGAGAGGGAUGCGGAAUUCCAGGUGUAGCGGUGAAAUGCGUAGAUAUCUGGAGGAACACCGGUGGCGAAGGCGGCAUCCUGGACCGAAACUGACACUGAGGCGCGAAAGCCAGGGGAGCAAACGGG